UACAGAGGUCUCAAGCGUUGUUCGGAUUCAUUGGGCGUAAAGGGCGCGUAGGCGGCGGGGUAAGUCUGGUGUGAAAUCUAGGAGCUCAACUCCUAAACUGCACUGGAUACUGCUCUGCUAGAGGACUGGAGAGGAGACUGGAAUUCACGGUGUAGCAGUGAAAUGCGUAGAUAUCGUGAGGAAGACCAGUGGCGAAGGCGGGUCUCUGGACAGUUCCUGACACUGAGGCACGAAGGCCAGGGGAGCAAACGGG
rnacentral:rRNA from 1 species